rnacentral:rRNA from 1 species
UACGGGGGGGGCAAGCGUUGUUCGGAAUUACUGGGCGUAAAGGCGCGUAGGCGGCCUACUAAGUCGGACGUGAAAUCCCUCGGCUCAACCGAGGAACUGCGUCCGAUACUGGCAGGCUGGAAUCCGGGAGAGGGAUGUGGAAUUCCAGGUGUAGCGGUGAAAUGCGUAGAUAUCUGGAGGAACACCGGUGGCGAAGGCGGCAUCCUGGACCGGUAUUGACGCUGAGGCGCGAAAGCUAGGGGAGCAAACGGG